GAGCUCAUGGUACGGUGUAAUAGCUCUCCUCGGCGUCAAGGGUGAUUGCGGCGGGCUCGUUACGAGCACCAGCUUGUGCUAACGGCCCACGAAAGAAAUUGCAGGCUCCCAGACUUCCAAACACCGGCCUACACGCGCUCGGCAGCACUGGUGCGUGU
rnacentral:lncRNA from 1 species